UGGAACUCUUCCAGCGAAGCUCUAACCUUAACUGACAAGAAAGUUUGGCAAAGCUCUCAUUAUGCGAAUUUUCCAGAAAUAAUUGAAGAUGGAGAUGCGGGCGAGUUUACCCAUGAAUCAGUGACUGAUGAUGCUGAUAUUCCAGGUUCAGUUGCUGGUCUUGUGUACAGGCGACGUGAUUGAACAAAGUGGGUUGUUGCCUGGAGCAACCCACUAGAUGAGAACAACAAGGUAUAUAUUAAAUUCAAUUCAAUCUUAUCAUUAAUUAACUAGUUAGAAUGCGUAUAUAUAAUCAUUUAAUCUAUGAUUAUUGCAUGCAUGCUGCAGGUCUAUACUGAUAUCCAAAGGCAACCUAUUCACUGUGGGCAAAUCAACACCAACAUUGAGAAAAGAGGAAAACCAAAAUUUAAAAUUACAAAGUUUGGGUACAAUGUACCUAUUAAAAUUGAUGCCGGGAGCCGUUCACCCACAAUUAAGGCAUCAUUUGAGUUAGAGGCAUAACUGCCUUUUGCUUCUUCAUCAAGCUGUGCUGGUAAUCAAGGCUAUCAAAAUUAAAUAAUAAUGUGCUGCCUGCAGCUGCAUUACCUGUACUACUAUGAUAGUAAUAAAUUUUGAUAGCCAAUAUAACCAUUAGAAAGUGUGUAGGCCUUCACAAUCAUGUCAGUGCCAUGUAUAUAUACAUGGUUGACUAUUUGUAUAAUAUUAUGGAAAAAUAAAAUAGAAUGACCUUUACUAUUUUAUCUUUUGACUCAAUUUAUACUUUAUAUUUUCUCCAACUUCCUCAUCGACCCAUCAAGUCAUCAAACUACAAACCAGGAACCAUAACAUAGAAAACUUGACAACAAAUAAACUCCCACCAGCAAACCAUGUUUCCAGCAGCACAAUAAAACAUAACUAGCAUGCCAGCAACUCGAUACAUUACCAGUAGCAGCAACAACCACCAAGUUUUAAAGCAUGCGAGAUUGGUAAAAGUCAGCAAUGGUCAAGGCAUCUGUUACACAUUCUACCUGACGCUUUGACAAUGCAGACAUCACCAAUAGCUUAAUUCAAAUCAUCAAUGUGAGCACAACUUUCUUGUAGAAUCCAUGGACAAUGGAGCUAAUAGCAACCCAAAAGUAAACAGGACAACUUUUUCGCUGAGAUAUCUAAUCUCGUGGUACAGGAUGGUUGAGGUUAAGGCUUAGAUGGUUGUGGAUUGACCUUGUUUGAUUACGGUAAGAUUGUCUUGGGAAAGCAUCUCUCGCAAUUGAGCUGGAGCCUUGGUUUCUAUAAGUCCAUUUUAAAAGCUUCUUAAAUAACAUACUGAAAAAUAGAUAAAGAAAAGAGAGUAAAAAAGGUACGCUGGGAGCCCCAGGAUAGUUAUCCCCAUAAAAACACAAGAACCAGAUCAAAACUUGCCCAAACAUGUAAAAGCAAAAGAACUACAAAACAAAAUCAAACCCACUAUUAGAACUUACAGUAUAAAAGAUCCCACAACGCCAUAAACAUUAUAUGAUCAACUGUCAUUCAGGCGUCAUCCACCUCAAAAGCCUCCUAAACAACAUACCGAAGAAAGAUAAAAGAAAAGAGUAGAGAGUUUAAAAGGUACCAUUUCAUACAGGAUAAGGUUUUCUCUCUGUAAUAGACUAAGUAAUUUAAAGUGAAAAAAAUGUAAAAUCAUUGAUGAAGUUAACAUGGAUUGUUAGAAAGUAAUGAUUUGGCAGUUAAAUUCUUUAAGAAGCUGUGAGAUUAUGGGGUGUGUUAUUUGUUUGAUGAGUUUUGCUAACUACAAUUGUUUGCUUAAUAUGAAAACAAUUAAUGAAAGUGCUACACUAAAGUGAUCAUUAUUGCUUGGCACUUGAAUAAUUGUGCAAAUGAAAACACAAAAAAUAUCAAGAUUUAUUUACGUAGUUUAGUCAGUGAGCAAUUCCACUAUCUUUAAUCACAAAUGCAAAAGGUGAUUCACACUCUAUUAGUCCCCAAGCAUAGAGAUCUCACUUUUAUCCCUAAAAAAUUAGAACACUCACCUCCAAAAUAGCCAUAGCAUGCAUGGCAUAACCAGGCAGAGUGCACGCGUGCGUAGUAGGGGACUAGGGGCAAGUAGGGCUAGCGCCACGACUCACACCCCCUUGCAAGCCUUGCACAAAUGCAACAGCUUCGGUUCCUUAGUUUGGGGAAGCUUUUAUCUAUUUUUAUAUUCGUUUGAUGUGAAACUUUAAAUUUUUCAUUCGAUCAAAAUUUUGCACAUCACGACAAAGUUGGAUCUUAGAAAAAUAUUGUUCAAACGUUCGAAAACUAGAAAAGUUCAAGAUCCAAAAUAUGCAUUGUGAAAAAAUUUGUAAUCUUUUACAAAUUUUCUUUUUCUAAAAUGGAGUCAUGAAAAUUUUUAGCUGUUUAGAGUUGAUUUUAUUUCUCAUUAUGAAUUAGAUAUUGAUUUUAUUAUGUUUAAUUGAAUGUUGAUAAAAUUGAUUAGCAUGUCAUGCAUAUAUGAUGAAGCAUGUUACAGAUUAUAAAAGAAUGUCACUUGAUCUUAUUUGCAUAUUUAAUCUUUCAUAUAUGAAAUUAGAAUUUAAAACUUUACAUGUUUUUGGGAUAGUAUAAUAAUACUUUGAGCCAGUUUUAACCCAUAGCCUCUAUUAAUGGUAUCUAAGGGAUAGUAUAAUAAUACUUUGAGCCAGUUUUAAUCUGGCUGCAUCCUAUGAUAAGUAUUAUCAUGUGGAUCACAGGAUGAGAUUUUCUUUAAAAGGAUAACAAGUCAUAUAUGAUUCUUAUUAAGAUUAUCUCAUGAUAACUCGAGAAUAUAUUUAUAAUGGUUGUUAAGUUAAUUGUUAUACACUCAAAUUACAUUAGUUAAAUAGCUUCCCGCAAGGCUAUAUUUAAGUUAAAAUAAUGACAAAUGUGAAACCACUAUUAAUAACACAAGUUAUACAUGUAGUUCGGUUUCUAUAUAUUUGAGGAAUCUAAUUGAGUGAUUAAAUCUACUAUCUUUAGUCCUAAUGCAAAAAGUGAUUUAAUACCUAUUACACUCCAGUGUAGCAAACUCACUUUUUUAACUAAAGAUCUAAAUCACCCACCUCUAAGUUCCUCCUCAAAAAUUUAGUCUAAAAACUUCUUUGCAGUAUCAAUUACAAGUCUCUCCAAUCAAUUCCCCUAUAAAACUGUAGUUAAAAUAAUAUAUACAAUAUAAUAACAAAGUCCAAGGUAAUUUGUAGAUACUAGAAAAAAAUAUUCAAGAACUCUCGAUCCAAUCUUAUUUAAAGGGAUCUGAAUGCUUGAUCCAAUCCAAUCCAAUCCAAUUUAAUAUUGAAGAUAUGUUUCUCCAUUUAAACGGUCUUCAAAGAUGCUUCCAAACAUCCAAGAAAUCAUCUAAGUCAUUGCUUGACUGAUUUUGUUGAAAAGAUUAAAACUCCAAAUAAUGCAAGUCAUAUUGUCUGACGCAAUGCUAAAGCAUCUUGGAUUUUAAGUGAAUCUAUUUUCAUAACUCGGGUUUUCUUAUGCCUGUUUAUGUAGAAAAUUGAUUAAUAUUUGGAGAAAUAAAACAAAGAAAAUGAUGUAGAAUAUAAUGGAGAAGAGAAAUAAAUUUUGUAUGGAAGAGAGAAACACCCUUUCUAAUAAACUUUUCUUUUUUAUUUCACACACUCUACAAAUGCUUCAUCACAUACAACUCUUUAUAUAGGAGUUGUAAGUGACUAUUCAUCUACAUCACUUAAAUGCUAUAGGAGUUGUGACUAUUCAUCUACAUGCAUGUGUGUAACUCUUCAUCUUCAAGUCUCUUCAUAUUUCUAACUCUUCAUAAUUUAUUUUGUGCAAGAUUAAUUUAAUUAUGUGCCAACAAUGCCUCCCUUAAAUUAAACUUGCUUCGAACUCCCAACCUUUCAACAUUUUUCUUGAAGACUUGUCCACUAAGCGGCUUUGUGAAGUUAUCAGUGAUCUGAUCUUCCGUCUUGCAAUAUUUAACUUGAACAUCACCAUCAUUUACCAGUUCCCUCAAGAAGUGAUAUCGAAUGCAAAUGAGUUUAGUCCUUCUAUGAAGAACUGGAUCCUUUGUGACCGAAAUAGUAGAACUAUUGUCACAAAACAAAAUCGUUGACUUGUUCUGCUUCUGCUUAAGACUCUCCAAAAUUCCAUGUAACCAAAUCAAUUGACAUCUUGUAUAAGAUGCAAUGAUAUAUUCAGCUUCUGUAGUCGAAAGAGCCACAAAUGAUUGUUUCUUUGAGCUCCAUGAAUCUGCACCACUACCAAGGUGAAAAACAUAACCAGAAGUGCUUCUGCUAUCAUUAAUGUUUCCUUCUAAAUCACUAUUUGUAUAACCAAUGAGAUCAACUAAUGUAUUAGCUUUAUAGAAAAUUCCAUAAUCAAUGGUUCCCUUCACAUAUCUCAAUAUUCUCUUAGCAGCCUCCAAGUGAUUGGAGUAAGGUUUCUCCAUGAAUCUACUCACCAAGCUAACAACAUACACGAUGUCAGGCCUUGUCGAAGUCAGAUACAUAAACUUUCCAACCAAACUUCUGAAUAUGAUGGAAUUGACAAGCUUUCCUUCACCCUCUUUAGAUAACUUCAGACCUUUGAUGCAUGGAGUAGAGAUUGGAUUAGCAUUUUCCAUCUUGAACUUUUUUAGAACUUCCUUUGCGUAGCUCUCUUGUGAAAUAAAAAUUCCUUUCUCGGAUUGAUAAACUUCAAUGCCAAGAAAAUGAUGAAGUUCUCCCAAAUUUGUCAUCUGAAAUUCUGCCAUUAUUGAGUGCUAAAAUUCUUUCAACAUAUUCACAUCAUUUCCUGUGAAAAUAAGAUCAUUAACGUAGAUACUUAAAACCAUGAAUCUUCCUUGAGAAUUGCCUUUGAUGAGUAUGCUCAUAUGGACAUUUCUGGAAUCCACACUUUUGAAAAUAAGAAUCGAUGCGGCUGUACCAAGCUCGAGGUGAUUGCUUCAACUCAUACAAAGCUUUGUUCAACUUGUAAACUUUUUCUUCUUCUCAUUUUUUGACAAACCCUGGUGGUUGAUCAACAUAGACUUCUUCUUUGAGAACACCAUUAAAAAAUGCAGAUUUUACGUCCAUUUGGAAUAUUUUUCAAUUGUUUUGGGCGGCAAGAGAAAUAAGUAACCAGACUGUCUCAAGUCUUGAAACUGGAGCAAGUACUUCUAUAAAAUCUUCUCUUUCCUUUUACUUGCAUCCUUUUGCAACCAGUCUUGCCUUGUACUUGUUGAUAGAGCCAUUUGGAUUCAUCUUUUUCUUGUACACCCAUUUGACUCUAAUAGAAUUCUUGUGUGGCGGCAAAUCUAUGAGCUCCCAUGUAUCAUUGUUUUCAAUUGAGCAAAUCUCUUCUUUCAUGGCUUUCCUCCAUAUUUCUUCUUGAUAUGCAUCAUCAAAAGAAAUUGGAUCUUUUCCUGCAAAGAAGGCAAAGAAUACGACAUCAUUUUGCACAACUUCAUCAGUUACAUCAUAUAACUCUUGGAUACUUCUCGUUUUUCGGAUCGGGCUGAAUGAAGAAGAAUUUGAUGAAGAACUUGGGGAAGCAAGAGGAUUUGCUGCUUGAGCAACAUCUUUAACAUUCUCAAUUACUACCUCUUCUUCUUCUUCUAGUUCAAAAGGAAAAAUUGGCAAAUUCUCUUUUCUAACUUCCGUAUAUUUAAACAUGGAAUUUUCAUCAAACAAAACAUCUUGACUUAUCACAAUCUUCUUUGCCAUUGGAUUGUACAACUUGUAUGCCUUACUUCUUUCACUAUAGCCAAUGAAAAUACAAUUCUCUGACUCGUUAUCCAACUUGCUUCUCAUUGCAUCUGGAAUAUGAGAGUAAGCAACACUCCCAAAUACUCUAAGAUAACGAACACUAGGCUUUGUACCAUACCAUGCCUCAUGUGGCAUGCAAUUCUCCAAGCUUCUUGUCGGCGACCUGUUGAUAAGAUAAACUGCACAAGAAACAACUUCAGCACAAAAUCUUCUUGAUAACCUCUUCUUCUUAAGAAAACAUCUAGCCAUCUCCAUAAUUGUUUUGUUCUUUCUUUCACACACACUUUUUUUGCUGAGUUGUAUGGCAGAUUGUUAUUUCAUGCUGAAUGCCACUGUCUCUGCAAUAUUUCUCAAUUUAUUUUGAAAAAUAUUCACCUCUAUGAUCUGUCCGCAAGGUGUUAAUUUUUAGCCCAGUAAAGUUCUUCACUUCUGCCUUGAAAUCUUUGAAUCUCUGGAAAGCCUCUGGUUUUUCUUUGACAUAAUACACCCAUAACUUUCUUGAGUAAUCAUUAAUGAAAGAGAUAAAGUAACAAUUACCUCCCAAAGAUGAAACUGUCAUUGGACCACAAAGAUCCGAGUGAAUAAGUUGCAAUGGUCUUCUUGCUUUCCAUGAGGAUUGAGAAGGAAAAGCAAUUCUGUGUUGCUUUCCAAGCUGACAAGCUUCACAAACAUCGUCAAGCCGAUCGAUCUUUGGUAAACCUCUGACCAUCAUCUUUCUUGAAAGCAGCUCCAAAUUUCCAUAGUUCAAAUGUUCAUAUCUAUCAUGCCAUAACUUUGAAACUCCUUUAUGAGCACUAAUAAAACAAGACGUCUUCUGAUUUUGAAGGGUGAGAGAGAAAAGAUUAUUUGAUGCUACUCCAACUCUAGCAACAACCUGAUUUUUCCUUGACAAGUAACAAGCCAUGUCACGGAAAUGAAUAUCAUGCCCCUUCUUCAAGAGAUGCCUAACGCUAAGCAGAUUAUUUUUAAGACCAGGAACAAAAUAAACUUCAGACAUUUUCUCAACCCUUCCUUACUUUGUUUUCCAACUCCAACUCACCAACACCGCUAACUUUGUAAGCUUUGCCAUCUCCUACUUUUACUUCUCCACAAUCAGAUUCAAAUAACUUUGAGAAUAAAUUUUUGUUACCUAUCAUAUGCUUGCUAGCACCACUGUCUAUGUGUAACACCCCUUACCCGAGACCAUUGCUGGAGUCGAGCACGAGGCGUCAUCUAACUUAACUUACCAAUUCGGAGCAUAAAAAAAAUUGCCUUUAAAAUUAAUUUCACUGUUCACAACAAAACUGUCCACCUACGUGAUUGUCACUAAUUUAAUUAUAACUCUAGUUAAAAAACUCAUAAUUUAAAUCUGUAAAUUUUCCCUAAAACUAGACUCAUAUUCCUAUUUACCAUAAAAUUUUCAGAAUUUUUGGUUUGGUCAAUUAGUACUGUUUAUUCAUUAAAGUUUCCACUGUUUCCCUACUCUACAGUUCUGACCUCUUGGAAAUAAAAAUCAAUUAUCUAAUUGUACAGAAUUCAUAUAAUGUUAUCGUUUGUUUAUUUUGAAAAUAGACUCAUUAAGGAAUCUAUACAUAUAAAUUAUGAACCAUAAUCAUUUCUGUACAAUUUAUAAUGAUUUUCUAAAGUCAGAACAGGGGACUUCAAAAACCAUUCUAACCCUAUCUCACUAAAAUUCAAAUAUCUCAAAAUAUAAAAUUCCUUUUCUUACACCGUUUCUUUUACAUAAAAAUAGACUUGAUAAUAUUUAAUCGUAUAUCUCAUUCAGUCUCUAAUUCCAUUUCUACUAUUUUUGGUGAUUUUUUAAAUUCACGUCACUGCUGCUGUCCAAAAACUGCUUCUUUAUAUUAGAUACCAUUUAAACAUACAUAACACCGAAACAUAUUCUUUACUAACCAUUUCAAUAGCUAAUCUUAGCCAUAUCAUUUGAACAUACUCAAAAUGAUUAAGACUCUAUACAUGCCAUAGCUUUAAACAUUUUGAAAACACAUAAUAUCAAGGUGGCUGUGAUAGUGUGAUACAAGCUCCGACGAUCCCCAAUUCGAGCAAGCUCAAAACACUCGGAUGCAAAACGACUAUUUUUGUAAAUUAGUCGAUAACCUUCUCUUUUCCCCGAUCACUUCCACUAUUUCUUCUUUCUUGAUAAUUGAGCUUAGAAAAAUCAAGAACCCUAGCUUAUAGAACAUGAAAGUUUCGGCAACAACUCUUUAAUAUUUUGAAGAAAUGGACAUUUAUUUUCACUUUAUUUUGUUUUUUAUUCACUUUUGACAAAAAUACCCUUGACCCAUUUACUUAGAUAUUUUUCUAGAAUUACCCUUUUGAGUCCAUAACACUAAUUUAUGGUCUAUUUUCCACAUAAACACUUCCAAUUUCAUGCAAUAAUUCAAUUAAGUCAUUUAAUCACUAAUUAGACACACUUUGCAUUUUUCUCAAUUUAGUCCUAAAAAAUCAAUUAGGCACUAAAUCAUUAAAAUUUCCUAUCCAUAUUUUCAUACAAUAUUUCAAUCAAUCAGUAAUUAAUAAAAAUUUAUAAAAUUAAACUAUUUCACUUCGGAUUUGUGGUUAUAAAACCACUAUUUCGAUUAGGCCCUAUUUCAGGCUAUCACACUAUGUACCAGACAUCAUCAAUCUCUCCACCAUGAGACACGAGCAACAAAGUUUCUUGCUUUUCCUCUUGAUAAUUUUGCACUAUAUUAGCUUCAUCUUUCUCUUCUUUCUUAUACCAGCAUUCACUCGCCAAAUGACUAGGUUUGUGACAAUGAUAACAUUUAAAUUAGCCACGACCUCUUCCUCUUUGAUUUCCAUGUCCACGUCCUCUUUGUGAACCUCUAAAAUUCUAAUUUUGGUUGGCUUCUUUCCAUCCAUUCUCCGUGCUUGCAUCUUCACCUCUUCCACGAGCAUUUCAGCCUCUUCCUUUAAAGUUUCUUCCUCUUCUACGACCACGAUCUCUCCCUCUUUGAUUUUUAAAAUCUUCCUUCUUCUCAUUUAGAGACAACUUUGACUGGAGUGCUUGAUCUAGAUUUACUUCCUUCUUCUUCUUGUUUAAUCUUUCUUCAUGGGCUUGCAACGAGCCUGUGAGUUCAUCAAUGGUCAUGGUACUCAAGUCCUUUGAUUCUUCAAUGGCUACCACAAUGUAGUCAAAUCUAGAAUCCAAAGAACGGAGGAUUUCCUCAACAACACGAAUAUCAUCCAUAGUUUCACCAUUUCUUUUUAAUUGGUUGACUAUGGACAAAACUCAUGAAUAGUAAUCAGAAACAGAUUCUGACUCUGUUUUUUGUAAUCUUUCAAACUCCCCUCGAAGAGUUUGCAACCAAACUCUUUUCACCUUUUCAUCUCCUUUGAAUGAAUUCUGUAAAAUCUCCCAUGCUUGUUUUGCCAAGGUGGCACAAGUGAUUUUUUCCCAAUCUGCUUCAUAUGAUUGAACUCUUUGAUAUAUCCAAAAUAAGGCUUGUUGAUUUUUCUUCCUUGAUUUUCUUAGACUCUCUUUUUGAGCUUGUGUUAAUCCUUCCUCCUCUUCAGCCUCAACUUCAUUAUAACCUUUUUCAACAAUCUCCCAUUCUUCUAGAUAUCCAAGAAGAGCCUUCAUUUGGAUACUCCAUUUGCCAUAAUUUUCUUUGGUUAAUUAGGGAACGGAAGAAAGAGAAAUAGAAUUGUUCAUGUCGAUCAAACUUUGCUCUGAUACCAACUUGUAGAAGAUUGAUUAAUAUUUGGAGAAAUAAAACAAAGAAAAUGAUGAAGAAUAUAAUGGAGAAGAGAAAUAAAUUUUGUAUGGAAGAGAGAAACACCCUUUCUAAUAAACUUUUCUUUUUUAUUUCACAUACUCUACAAAUGCUUCAUCACAUACAACUCUUUAUAUAGGAGUUGUAAGUGACUAUUCAUCCACAUCACUUAAAUGCUAUAGGAGUUGUGACUAUUCAUCUACAUGCAUGUGUGUAACUCUUCAUCUUCAAGUCUCUUCGCAUUUCUAACUCUUCAUAAUUUAUUUUGUGCAAGAUUAAUUUAACUAUGUGCCAACAAUUUAAGGGUUCUAAAGCAUCUUGGGUCUGGAGUAGCAUUAUUGAAGGCAAGGAUUUUCUUAAAGGAACGUUGUUAUGGAAAAUUCAAAACGGAGAAUCUGUUCACAUAUGGGAGGACAGAUGGUUGAGGGGCAAUUGAGCCUCUUUCUUAUCCUGGACAGGUGGAUGAACCAUUACCAAUACUAGCAGCUGAAAUCAUAUGUAAAGAGCGUGAAUGCUGGAAUUUGGCUGCAAUCUCAAAGUGGCUAAACAACAGAGAAAUUGCUGAAAUCCACCAAAUUCCGGUGUAUAAUACUAAGGAGCAAGACAGGUUGGUUUGGCCAUAUAAUAUACAAUAGGGCAAUAUUCUGUUAAGUCCGGUUAUAAAGAGCUGAAGAAGCAAUCUGGUAAUGUGCUUACUUCUAAACCCUCUAGUUCCUAUGUGAUUGAGGUUUGUACCUAGAAAUUUAUAUGGAAACUACAGGUCCCUAGCAAAAUAAAGAUUUUUAUUUGCAAACUGUGUCAUAAUGCUAUUCCUUCAUGGCUUAAUCUUUGGAAAAGAAAGUGUGCGCAAAACUCAACUUGCUCGAUUUUUCAAGAGGAAGUGAAUCUGUUGAACAUCUUAUUUUGGGGUAUGAUUGGGUUAGGGGCGUUUGGUUUGAAGUAUGCUCUGGAUUGAAGAUCAAAAGGGAGGAUAUCAAGUCGUUUGAUGUGAAGUAAAUUUGGGAAUAGGAGUAUGAUGGUUAAGCUUGUAUAUACUUGCUCGUACAUUUGGAAGGUUAGAUGUGAAGUGGUUCUUGGAGGGAAAACUCUGGAUGUUGGACAGACCAUUCGAAGGAUCAAAUUGUCAUCUCAGGAGUUUCUUAAAGUUCAAGAGCAAAAGGUUGAAUGUGGUCCAUUAUUUGGUAGUAAAGAAUUACUGUUGAUUAUAAUUGGAUGAAUCCUCCUGAGAAUUGGAUUAAAAUAAAUUGUGAUGCAAGCUUUAAAGAAGAAUCUGAGAUGGCUAGGAUUGGGGUAAUUGGAAGAGAUUGGACUGGUUCGAUGAUUGAUGGGAUUGAGAAAGAAUUGAAGGUUUGUUCUGCAGAAGCUGCUGAAGCAUGGCCAGUUUUAACAGGGAUUGAGCUUGCAGUGAAGAAUCGAUGGGCUAAAAUUAUUAUUGAGACUGAUUAUUGCUAAACAGAUUGAGGUUGGAGGAGCAGAGAGGAGAAGGAGCAUUGGUCCCAUUUUGCAUAAAUUUGAUAGGCUGUUGAAUGAAAUAUCAGAGUUGAAGUUUCCCUCAUUAAGCGCGAAGCUAAUAGAGCGGCUGAUUGGAUGGCUAAGGCUUCUCAAAAGGGGAUGUGCAACAAUGGUUGGACUUGACAACCACCAUCUUCUUUGGUGUUCAUUCUGGACAAGGACGAAUUUCCUACUCCCCCUUCGAACUGAUAUUCAAGCUAGUUUUACAGUGAGGUAGCUGUGGCUCUCUUGUACUUGUGAGUCAAAUUUUUUACCACAACUUUUUGUAUUUUCUGAUAUAAUGAAAGUUUUGAUGUUUUUAUGGCAGAAAAAAAAAAAAAACUAAUUUGUAAGCUUAGAAAUAUCUCACUUCAUUACAAAGUGAAAAUAAAAUAAAGCCAAAACUAUAAGAUGUAUAUAUAUAAAAAAUAAAGGGAGAAUAUUUAAUGUAUAGGUAGGGGUUAGUGUUCAAUUGAAUCUAGUAAAAAUAUUUCAAGUUAAUCAAGUUGAUAAAUCCUAUUUUAUCAUUCUAAUUCGAUUAUUAAAUUUUUUCGAAUUGAAUUGAGUGAAAUGAAAUUCGAGCCAAGUCGAAUCGAAUCGAGUGAAAUUGUUCAGUUAAAUUAAAAAAUUAAAUAUAUCAAAUUAAAAUCUUGUUACAGUAUAAUUAAUUUAAUGUUAGAACACCUAAAAUUGAAACUAUAUAUAUUUGAAAACCUUUUCAAAGCAUAAUAAUAAUAAUAAUAAUAAUAAUAAUAAUAAUAAUAAUAAUAAUAAUAAUAAUAAUAAGAUACUUUAGUAUUAAAAACAUGAAUAAUUAAUUAACUUAUUUAUGUUUCCAAAUUUAUUAUUUUAAAAAUUUAAAUUUAACUUUCUUUAUAUAAUUUUAAAUUUUAUUUUUUAAAAAUAUAAAUUUUAUAAUUUUAUAAAUAUUUUGAAUUUUAAAAAUUGUUUUGAAUUUUUUUUUUGUUGAGAGAGAUCAAUUUGCUCCUUUUCAAAAUUGACACGGAUUAAAGGGGUAUUUACACCAAUCUAUUAUUUGAGUUGUAAAAUUCAACUCGACUCGAACUCGAAUAACUUAAAAUUCAAUUUUUUUAAUUUUUUUCAAAUUGAAUCGAGUUUUGUUCACCCCUAACCGUAUGUGCAUAUAUUUUAUAUACCAUCAAGUGAUAAUCAAAUGACACAUUAUUACUAGUGUAAAAUAAAAAUUAUUGAAGGGUUUAAAAAUAGUAGACAUUGGUGAACAUUUUCAUAAUGUUCUUAUUAUUCAUUAGUAUUGUUGUUUGAGGUUUGAUCAAACUCUUGAGAUUGGUUAGAGGUAAAGCUUGCAGAAGAAUUGGUUCUUUAGGGAAAGGAAACAUAAUUUAAUUUUCUUAUUUCCUACAAGCGGGUUCUAUUAUGAGAAUUUCUGAAUUACUAUCAUUGCCUAUCAUUCUGCCACCAAUUUGACAUUAGAAAUGAAAUUUCUCUUAAAAAACAUGUUUCCAUAUAAAAUAAAAAAAUAGAAGAAAGAAUAUUUCAGAAUAUUAUAAAGAAAACCAAAGUAUAGGAAAUACAGUAAAUAAAAGAAAAUACAAAAAUUGAAAAAAAUAGAUAAAUGAUAAAAUGUUAUAGAUGUGAAAAAUCAUGACACAUGUCAAAAUCCCUAAUGCAAAAAUUGUAUUAAAGAUAUCAAAUAUCAAACAUAUUUUGUAAUGAUAAAAGAUAUUACCCAAGACAUUAUAUUAGGAACCCCUUUAUAUCUUUACUCAAACCUUACAAAGUAACAAAUCACAAAGUUAAAAAUCUUAACUUAUUAACAUUUUUAUUCAUUACAAAUCAAUAAUUUAAUUAAUCAUAAAUAGAACAAUUUUUUUUAAAGAAGAAAUAUGUUUUUUUAAAAAAUUAAAUGAAAAAUUAGAAAAAAAACAGAAGUUCAAAGGAGAAUAAAUCAAAUCAAAGAAGAAAUCGAGUCAACAAUAUGCUCUGACAUCUCUAAUGCCUUUUGGAAUAGGAAAAAACAUGAAGUAACAUUACCAUAUGAAAAUGAUUUUGUUGAAAGACAAAUCCUAACAAAAGUAAAGCCAAUAAAAAUGAAUAAAGAGAUGGAAACUUUUGUUAAAAAGAAAGACAAGAUUUUCUCAAUAAAAAAUUAAUAAAAAAAGUAACUUUUCUUACAGUUGUUCAGCAUUUUAUGUGAUGAAAAAUGCAGAACUUGAAAGAGGAACACUAGUAUUAGUCAUUAAUUAUAAACCUCUCAAUCAAUGUAGAAAGGAAUUAUUAUUACUAACAUAAAAAAAAAAUCAAAUUCAAAACUUGACACCCAAAAAAAUUUGGAAUCUAAAAUCCGAAAGAUCAAUAAAAAUUAUAGCUAAUAUUUAAUUAUGUUUAACUAAAAAAUAAAGUUAAAUGUAUUUAUUUUCAAGUCUUUCAAUACUUUUUAUUUUAUACCAAUAAUGAUCUUUCAUAUUAUUAACUGAUGGUGCAUGAAACCUAAACACUGACAAUGCAUCAAAUAUUAUCUCAUAUAUAAAGUUAACAACUAUAUAUUGAAUUCAUGGUUGAAUAAGAAUAUAAAAUUAGGAGACAGAUCCCUAUUUUUUGUAGAGGUAACUUCAAUGUUGAAAUUGUUACUUAUAUGUUUCUACGUGUUUUUUUUUUCAUAAUAAUUUAUUUGACCUUUCAACUUUACAAAAAGAAAUCAUUUUAAGUUUCUACUUAAAUUUUUGUUUCUUUUAUCUUUUAAACUUGUAUUGUUUGUUAACGUCAAUCCACGUGAACUGACACGUAUUUACUACAUUAGCAAUUGAUUAAUUUUUAAAAGAUUAAAAAUAUAUUAUAUACCUUUUUAAUAAUUUUAAAUUUUUAAAAUUUGAAAGAUUAAUUAAUUGUUGAUAUGUCAGUCACGUUUGUGUGAUAUCAGUAAAAUUAACAAAUAUUAACUUUUAUUUUAUUUUAGUAUAAAUUUAAAGAUUAAAAAGGGAAGAAAAAUUAAAUAAAAAAUAUUAUUAUGCGUUUGAGAUAAAUGAUGAGGCAAAGUACAACAAAGGAGUAACAUCAGACAAAGCCAAACACCAGAAUCACAUCAGAAGAGUGCAGAAGAACCUCUAGUGGUGCAAUCAAUUAUCAAUUAGAUAGCCGUGUUUAUUAGUUAAUAUAUUAAUGUAAAAACAAAACUUUCCAUUCAAGCAUAUUUUUUAAUAUAACAAAAUUCAGCUCCAUACUAAAAGUCUCAUUGCUUUAAUACCUUAUCCUUUCAGGAUCUCAAAUACAAAGUUUUAUUCCCUUUUUUUCCAACAAAAAUUUAUGCCUAAUACACAAAUCACUAUUUUUUCAAAGGGAUUCAAAGUUUAAUGAAAAAAUGGGUUGAUGUUACAUUUAAAGUUAUUUAAUUAUUAAUACGAAUACAGUAUCAAUAUAAAAAAUAUUUCAAACAUAUUAUUAACAUCUCAAAAUUUAAUAUGAAUUUCAUGUGAUAGCUUGAUGGUUAAGGGUGUUCAUCAUUCCAGUUGUUACCUGAGUUUAAGUCACACUAGUUAUAUGUAUACUUAUGCUUUGGUGACUAUUAGGUUACCAGGAUAAUGAUGUACAUGGAGUUUUGUAAGUACUAGCAACUGACACUAGUUAGUAAAAGAAAAUUAUUUCAAUAAUUCUUAAAAAUAUAUAAUUAAGAUUCAAGUAUAUUUUGGAAAUUUUUAAUUUAGAGAUGACUUUUAUGUACUAAUUUUUUUUAUGUAAUACAUCCGUUGAAAUUAUUUAUUUAAUUAUGUGAUGUGAGUUUAGUUUUAGUCCCCAACAAUUAUAUUUUAAAUACACUAAAUUAUUAGUAAAUUUAUGUUUUAGUUAUUUAAUUUUAAAAAAUUACAAAAUGGUCAUUGAACUAUUUGAAAGUUUUUAUUGAAGUCAUUAGGCUAUUAAGGUUUUACUUUAAAGUCUUGCUAGCAAGCUUCAAGCAAUGAUUCGAUCCAAGUCGAUUUGACUAUCAAUGUCAAUGAUGGGAGAAAAAUUUUGUUUGAAUUUUGGUUCGCAGAUUCAUGAGUUUAAAAGUUAUUUCUUGAAAAAAAGGUGAAUUGUAGAAGAGAAAGGGAAUGAGAGCUUUCGAUAGAUACAGGUGGUGCAAAUAGAGAAGGCCAUACAAUAAUUUUAAUAGCUCAGUGACUUAAAUGAAAAUUUUUGAAUAGUUUAAUGAUCAAUUUGUAACUUUUUUUUUUAAAUUGAGUAACGAAACAUAAACUUACUAAUAGUUUAGAUCACAAUGGAAGUAGUUUACCUUUAUAUUGUUAAUUUAUUAUACAAAAUUUAUUUAAUUUAAAAAUAAUACUUUAUCAAAAAAAUCCAAAUAGGUUAAAAAUAUUUCUUUAAUUGAAAAGAAUUUGUACUUAGAAGUGAAAAGACACAUCAAGAAUAUGAAUAAAGAAAAGGAAAAGGAAUAUAAAAAAGUUUUGAUGUGAAUGAAGUCUACUAAUUUCAUGCGCAUAAACGUCCUUAUUAUGGACAAUGCAUGCAUGGUGUAAACUAGUAUAUAAGUAGGUGUGUAUUGCAAUAUUUGAAGCAUAACACAACCAAAACAAGCUUUAGCUAACCAAAGCACAUACAAAGCUACCAUGGCUAAUUUUCAAAUGAAAAAAGUUCAACAAUGCACACACGGCAAGCUGUGGAACUCUUCCAGCGAAGCUCUAACCUUGACCGACAAGAAAGUUUGGCAAGGCUCUCAUUAUGCGGAUUUCCCAGAAAUAAUUGAAGAUGGGGAUGCGAGUGAGUUUACACAUGAAUCAGUGACUGAUGAUGCUGAUAUUCAUGGUUCAGUUGCUGGUCUUGUGUACAGGCGACGUGAUGGAACUAAGUGGAUUGUUGCCUGGAGCAACCCACAAGCUGAGAACAGCAAGGUAUAUAUUGCAUUCAAUUCAAUCUUACCAUUAAUUAACUAAUUAGAAUGUGUAUAAAUAAUCAUUUAAUUUAUGAUUCAUUUCAUGCAUGUUGCAGGUCUAUACUGAUAUCCAGAGACAACCUGUUCAC
rnacentral:lncRNA from 1 species